rnacentral:rRNA from 1 species
CGUGUAGGCGGUUUUGCAAGUCAGAUGUGAAAUUCCCAGGCUUAACCUGGGCGCUGCAUCUGAAACUGCAAGACUUGAGUACUGGAGAGGAUAGUGGAAUUCCUAGUGUAGCGGUAAAAUGCGCAGAGAUAUGGAGGAACACCAGUGGCGAAGGCGGCUUCCUGGUCUGUAACUGACACUGAGGCGCGAAAGCGUGGGGAGCAAACA